UACGUAGGUGGCAAGCGUUGUCCGGAUUUAUUGGGCGUAAAGGGAGCGCAGGUGGUUUCUUAAGUCUGAUGUGAAAGCCCACGGCUUAACCGUGGAGGGUCAUUGGAAGCUGGAAAACUUGAGUGCAGAAGAGGAAAGUGGAAUUCCAUGUGUAGCGGUGAAAUGCGCAGAGAUAUGGAGGAACACCAGUGGCGAAGGCGGCUUUCUGGACUGUAACUGACACUGAGGCACGAAAGCGUGGGUAGCAAACAGG
rnacentral:rRNA from 1 species